GUUGAACGCUGGCGGCGGGCCUAACACAUGCAAGUCGAGCGGAUGAAGGGAGCUUGCUGCUGGAUUCAGCGGCGGACGGGUGAGUAAUGCGUAUGAAUCUGCCUGGUAGUGGGGGAUAACGUCGGGAAACGGGCGCUAAUACGGCAUAGGUCCUGAGGGGGAAGGUGGGGGAUCUUCGGCCUUCACGCUAUCAGAUGAGCCUAGGUCGGAUUAGCUAGUUGGUGGGGUAAUGGCCUACCAAGGCGACGAUCCGUAACUGGUCUGAGAGGAUGAUCAGUCACACUGGAACUGAGACACGGUCCAGACUCCUACGGGAGGCAGCAGUGGGGAAUAGUGGACAAUGGGCGAAAGCCUGAUCCAGCCAUGCCGCGUGUGUGAAGAAGGUCUUCGGAUUGUAAAGCACUUUACGUUGGGAGAAAGGGCAGUAAGUUAAUACCUUGCUGUUUUGACGUUACCAACAGAAUAAGCACCGGCUAACUUCGUG
rnacentral:rRNA from 1 species